GAAAUGCGAUAAGUAAUGUGAAUUGCAGAAUUCAGUGAAUCAUCGAAUCUUUGAACGCACCUUGCGCUCCUUGGUAUUCCUUGGAGCAUGCCUGUUUGAGUAUGAUGAAAUCUUCAAAGUAAAUCUUUUGUUAACUCAAUUGGUUUCUACUUUGGUAUUGGAGGUCUUUGCAGCUUCACACCUGCUCCUCUUUGUUCAUUAGCUGGAUCUCAGUGUUAUGCUUGGUUCCACUCGGCGUGAUAAGUUAUCUAUCGCUGAGGACACUGUAAAAGGUGGCCAAGGUAAAUGCAGAUGAACCGCUUCUAAUAGUCCAUUGACUUGGACAAUACUUUUAUGAUCUGAUCUCAAAUCAGGUAGGACUACCCGCUGAACUUAAGC
rnacentral:misc_RNA from 1 species